GCAAGUCGAGCGAGAUCUUCGGAUCUAGCGGCGGACGGGUGAGUAACGCGUGGGAAUAUACCCUUCUCUACGGAAUAGCCUCGGGAAACUGAGAGUAAUACCGUAUACGCCCUUCGGGGGAAAGAUUUAUCGGAGAAGGAUUAGCCCGCGUUGGAUUAGGUAGUUGGUGGGGUAAUGGCCUACCAAGUCUACGAUCUAUAGCUGGUUUGAGAGGAUGAUC
rnacentral:rRNA from 1 species